rnacentral:lncRNA from 1 species
GCAUUAUUUAUUUUUCUUUGUUAGCAAGAAAAGUGAAGAUAGGCAUUCGCACAGCUCGGGUUUCAAAAAAGAUUAAAAGCAAGAAGAACUUCUAACAGACGAUGACGCGAGACAACGCAUCGAGAUCGAAUUCAACCUGUGUCAGUGACCAGCAUAUGUCAGAUUAACACGCUUUCUGUUCUUCAAUAGAACUCCGUGCGUCCAUUGUGGGGAAGCAGAGACACCAGGUCACUAUUGGAUGUACUGACCGAAUUACGCGGUGGCCGGCCAGGAACUGGGUCGUAGUCUGGCAUUGGACUUCACAGUAGUAAGGACUUUGUCCCCAAUUUAUUGGCCGAACGCGGAAACUCACCCGAGGAAACGUGAAUAUACUCGAGCGAUAUAUAUCAAGGACAGGCCAAUUUAUCUAGAUAGACGGCGACGCUCGUCGGAGAGAAAGCGAACUAAGGCUAUAAUCUCCAUAUAAACCCGGGAGGAGAAAGAAGAAUAGAACUCGGUUGUCAACCCAACGACUUUUAUAUGGUAUAGUCUGAAAAAUGAAAGUAUACACUUGUACUCUAUUUUCAGAGGACAUGACGACUGAUAAAUUGUCUUCAUUCGGGUGUUGAAAGACCUUUGGGGUAUAAAUUGAUGUUCUGUUUGACGACGAGAGACACUUUGAUCUACAGUUAUUUAUAUUUACACUUUUAGUCUAAUCUUUUAUUCGUUGCUAUGUUUAUUUUAAAUUGACAAAUUUUUAUGACGAUUUUUCCCCAAAAAACAUUUGAUUAAAAUAACAUAAUAAUUGGAUUUUUGCCACCGAUUUCGGUUUAAUGAAUUCAUCGAAUAGCAACGAAUAUCCAAUUUUACUUCCCGAUUGUUAUUCUGUCAAGCAAUCAGGGUCAGUUUCUGGAAAUCAAAAAACUACCACAAAAUGGGUGUCGCCUUGACGUGGCUUUGUGGCUUAAUGUGUGAAGAUUUUAUCAAAUUUGACACGUAAGAUUUUCCACGGACUAAGCACACUUGGCAGAAGUAUUUCGAAAUAAUAUUUAUUAGUGAUAAUCAGAGAUACUUAAGUGUAUAAUUUCAGCUUUCUAGACUUAUUAGUUCAUCCUCUAGAAGAUUCUGUAGUGCCGAAUGAACAAUAAGAAGUGGAAGAAACACAGUUUUUUGGCGGAUUUUGCACUUUAUAAUUGAUUAUAUUUCGACGACGUCUUUAUUAAAAAAUCUAAAAUUUUGCACACUACCUAACAAAGCAAUUAUCUAAUUGUUAUUUGGAAGAGAUAUUCAGAAUUACUUUAAGCGUUUGGGGGUUUGGGGGACGGUCCAGAGUAUUGGCGACUCCGAUUCCAUAUACCAUGUAUAUAGUCAGUCAGUGACGUUUUACUUGGCGCGGAAUCUCUACCAUGACUCUCAAUAGGCCAGACACUAGUUAGUAUGAUUGCUGAAAAUAUGCUUUUUUUUACCUUUUAUAAAAGUUAAGGAUUUGAAAAAGUCAAUUAAAAAUGACCCGUAAUUAUAAAAUUUCUGCUCAAAAUACCAUAAAAUUCAGAAUAUAUUAUACAAUAUAAAAGGCAGUAUCUAUCAAUUUUAUUAAACAUCGAUAGUGUUGCUUCAACGAUAGAUUGCUGGAUGUGGCGUAACAUGGAUGCAUUUAUGAAGUAACCGCAUUCCGUCGUUAAAUGAGAGCCAAUGUUGUAUACAUUGACAACGGAAUGUGUUAGAAAAACAUAAAAGUAAAGACUUUGAAACUAAAUUAAAAAUAGUAAUAAAUAAUUGGAAUAAAGUUCGUGCAGCGGUACACAAAAAUGCUGUAAAUAGUGUGAUGACACGUUCAUUGAAAGUUGACAAUAGUAUGUGUUGUUUAUCGCAUAGCUUGCAACUUUCGAUGAUAAGGAUGUUGCGAAGAAUUUAUUAAUUAGUAAGUGCAAUGCGAUUGUCGAGCAUUUCGAACAUUCCGCAGUUGCAACGAGUGCAGUAUUCGCUUAUCGGGAAGGUCACAACUUGUCUAAAUGCAAAUUGAUUUAAUCGUAGAAAACCCGUUAAAAUUUAACAAUUCAAAUGAUUGAAGGAUUUCUGAAGCAAAGAGAAGCGGUUAUAAAUGACAUGUACGACAAAACUAUCACUAAAACAAGUUAGAAAUGACCGAGAAAGACUGGAACCUCUUAAAAAAUUUGAAGAAAGUUCUGAAGCCGUUUAAACUUACAACAACAUAAACAAAUUCUGAAUAAAAUCCUACUAUAUCAAUUUAAUUAUGUUACUCAAUAACUUUUUAAAAUUAUAAGAAAUCUGAAAAAGCAAGUAAUUUUUCAAAAUACAUUUUGAAGUAAUAUGAGAAUGGAAUGUAGAUUGCUGUAUCUAUUUACUUGUUAACUUAUUUUGUUAACUUCUUCGCGAAUAGAUAGCGCUACGUGUAACUCAGAAA